rnacentral:rRNA from 1 species
AGUAAAUAGAUACCCGGGUAGUCCACGCCGUAAACGAUGAGUACUAGGUGUAGGAGGUAUCGACUCCUUCUGUGCCGCAGUUAAACACAAUAAGUACUCCGCCUGGGAAGUACGGUCGCAAGAUUAAAACUCAAAGGAAUUGACGGGGGCCCGCACAAGCAGCGGAGCAUGUGGUUUAAAUUCGAAGCAACGCGAAGAACCUUACCUAGACUUGACAUCUCCUGAAUAGUGUAGAGAUACAUGAAGCCCUUCGGGGUCAGGAAGACAGGUGGUGCAUGGUUGUCGUCAGCUCGUGUCGUGAGAUGUUGGGUUAAGUCCCGCAACGAGCGCAACCCUUAUUACUAGUUGCUACCAUUAAGUUGAGCACUCUAGUGAGACUGCCCGGGUUAA